CUCAUCAAUGGACAUCAUGGCUCCCGCAUUGUCGAACUCGCCGCAGUAGUUGGGCGCGCUAAAGAGUGUGAUGAGCUGACGUUU
rnacentral:rRNA from 13 species